rnacentral:rRNA from 1 species
CCUACGGGUGGCAACAGUGAGGAAUAUUGGUCAAUGGGCGCGAGCCUGAACCAGCCAAGUAGCGUGAAGGAUGACUGCCCUACGGGUUGUAAACUUCUUUUAUAAAGGAAUAAGUGAGGCACGUGUGCCCUUUUGUAUGUACUUUAUGAAUAAGGAGCGGCUAACUCCGUGCCAGCAGCCGCGGUAAUACGGAGGAUCCGAGCGUUAUCCGGAGUUAUUGGGUUUAAAGGGAGCGUAGAUGGGUUGUUAAGUCAGUUGUGAAAGUUUGCGGCUCAACCGUCAAAUUGCAGUUGAUACUGGAGGUCUUGAGUACAGUUGAGGUAGGCGGAAUUCGUGGUGUAGCGGUGAAAUGCUUAGAUAUCACGAAGAACUCCGAUUGCGAAGGCAGCUUACUAGACUGCCACUGACAUUGAUGCUCGAAAGUGUGGGUAUCAAACAGGAUUAGAUACCCGAGUAGUC